UGUAGGUGAUAUACGCAUUUAUUAUUGA
rnacentral:sRNA from 1 species